UAAACUGAUCACUGGUCACAAAACGCCCUGUGCCAUGUAUGACGGUGUUGAGUGUAUGAUUGUAAUGUUGGCAUUUGAUUCGACUCAAGAAGCUUAAGAUCAACACUUCUAGAUUACAUUUCUAUUUAUUAGAUCUAGAUUUCUAGAUCUAUAUAGAUCUAGUAUUUAUUAGUAAAAUUAUUGGCAAGACCUAGACCCUCAAAUCCAGAUCUAAUCUUAAUGAUUAAUGAAUUCUUAAUGUAGAUCUAGAAAUCUAGAAUCUAGUCUAGUCAAAAUCAAUGAUGAUUUGCAGAUUUGGAGCUGCUUGGAUGUACUACAGAUUUGAGCCAGGGAACCAAAAUUGAUGAUUGUCAUUUGACCAUGCCAUCCCAUAAAGCUGAACCAAUGAGAACCUUCUGUACAGAAACUCAUCUUUAUCCAGACCACUUUGUUACUGGAACAUUAUAUUGUACCCAAUUAACAUGAGAACCCUACUGCAGAACUGUAGUUGAAUGUCUACACCCCUCCACCUCCCCACCUGUUUAUAAGCUCUGUUGAUAUAUACAGGCAUUGGAUCAAGUUGGAGAAGAUUGUGACCACCUUUUCUGUCUACCUGGUACUUUCAUCAUGUGGAGAAGAUUGUGACAGCCCUACCUGUGUCUACCUGUUACUUUCAUCAUGUGGAGAAGAUUGUGACCACCUUUCCUGUCUACCUGGUACUUUCAUCAUGUGGAGAAGAUUGUGACCACCUUUCCUGUCUACCUGGUACUUUCAUCAUGUGGAGAAGAUUGUGACAGCCCUACCUGUGUCUACCUGUUACUUUCAUCAUGUGGAGAAGAUUGUGACCACCUUUCCUGUCUACCUGGUACUUUCAUCAUGUGGAGAAGAUUGUGACAGCCCUACCUGUGUCUACCUGGUACUUUCAUCAUGUGGAGAAGAUUGUGACAGCCCUACCUGUGUCUACCUGGUACUUUCAUCAUGUGGAGAAGAUUGUGACAGCCCUACCUGUGUCUACCUGUUACUUUCAUCAUGUGGAGAAGAUUGUGACCACCUUUCCUGUCUACCUGGUACUUUCAUCAUGUGGAGAAGAUUGUGACAGCCCUACCUGUGUCUACCUGGUACUUUCAUCAUGUGGAGAAGAUUGUGACAGCCCUACCUGUGUACUAGUGUCUAUCUGCUACUUUCAUUGUAUGUCAAAUUUUAAAGACAUUUGUUAAAAUAUGUUGAACUGAUGCUUAAUUUUAACUUUACUGUCUUCCAAUAAAUGUUUCUUGUGUAAUGUUGCCACUGAGUUCAUUGAAGUUAUUGCCUCCCAUGCUAGUUGAGUUAUCUCUCAUGUAUUUACAGUCCACAAAUGCGGUUAACUAUCACAAAUACUAGUCCACAAGAAACAGUUAGCUUAUAUGUGCCAACAACAUACAAUAGCUUUUGUCAGGUGGCUCUGAAUUUAUACCCAAAUCAUUGUUUCAAUAAGUACUUUCAAGAAAUUCAAUUAGCUAUUAAAAAAAUACCAACUUAUUUUAUACAGUGUUUUGUCUACUGAGACAUAAAAAUCAACCUUUGUUCAAUGAACUUACCGAACUGAUGUUAUAUACAAUUGAAACAUUCAACAAAGUUGAAAUGCCUCAUUUAGAAAACAACUACCAAA